UACGUAGGGGGCAAGCGUUGUCCGGAUUUAUUGGGCGUAAAGAGCUCGUAGGUGGUUUGGUAAGUCGGAUGUGAAAUCUCCAGGCUCAACCUGGAGGGGUCAUUCGAUACUGCCAUGACUAGAGGUCGGUAGGGGAGUGUGGAAUUCCUGGUGGUAGCGGUGAAAUGCGCAGAUAUCAGGAGGAACACCGGUGGCGAAGGCGGGUCUCUGGGCCGAUACUGACGUGAGGAGCGAAAGCGUGGGGAGCGAACAGG
rnacentral:rRNA from 1 species